rnacentral:rRNA from 1 species
UACGGAGGGUGCGAGCGUUGUCCGGAAUCACUGGGCGUAAAGAGCGUGUAGGCGGCCAGGUAGGUCCGUUGUGAAAACUGGAGGCUUAACCUCCAGCUGUCGAUGGAAACCAUCUGGCUAGAGUCCGGAAGAGGCGAGUGGAAUUCCUGGUGUAGCGGUGGAAUGCGCAGAUAUCAGGAGGAACACCAACGGCGAAGGCAGCUCGCUGGGACGGUACUGACGCUAAGGCGCGAAAGCGUGGGGAGCGAACAGG